CCUGCCCUAGGCUUUGGGAUAACCCUCGGAAACGGGGGCUAAUACCGAAUAUUCACUGCUGGUCGCAUGGCUGGUGGUGGAAAGUUUUUCGGCUUGGGAUGGGCUCGCGGCCUAUCAGCUUGUUGGUGGGGUAAUGGCCUACCAAGGCGACGACGGGUAGCCGGCCUGAGAGGGCGACCGGCCACACUGGGACUGAGACACGGCCCAGACUCCUACGGGAGGCAGCAGUGGGGAAUAUUGCACAAUGGGCGGAAGCCUGAUGCAGCGACGCCGCGUGAGGGAUGACGGCCUUCGGGUUGUAAACCUCUUUCAGCAGGGACGAAGCGAGAGUGACGGUACCUGCAGAAGAAGCGCCGGCCAACUACGUGCCAGCAGCCGCGGUAAGACGUAGGGCGCGAGCGUUGUCCGGAUUUAUUGGGCGUAAAGAGCUCGUAGGCGGCUUGUCGCGUCGACUGUGAAAACCCACAGCUCAACUGUGGGCUUGCAGUCGAUACGGGCAGGCUAGAGUUCGGUAGGGGAGACUGGAAUUCCUGGUGUAGCGGUGAAAUGCGC
rnacentral:rRNA from 1 species